UAGGCCACACAGCUGGCCAAGUUUAGUCACAUGCUUGUUGUUAUUGUUCUGGUAGUCUAGUGCUUUCCUGAAUGGUCUGCACUCGAUCUGAACCUUCUCCCAAUUCAGAGGCAUCAGAAUAAUAUUGUCUACAUUCGGAUUUGUGAUUACAGGAUUCUUCCAAAUAUUUAGGACGUUUGACUCGGAACGAUCGCGACGCAAAGGGGGAGUCAAUCAAAUACGCAUCGCGUCCCUUAUUUACCAACAUGACGGAAGACAAACAAAGGGUCAUCGAGGAACAUUUGCAGGGUUCCUGGGUGGAGCUGCACUUUAACAAUGGCAACAGUGGUGGCUCACCAGCACAUGGUGUGGAGGAAGAGCAGGUACCAGGCUCUGCCACUGAGCUACCAGGCUCUGCCACUGAGCUACCAGGCUCUGCCACUGAGCUACCAGGCUCUGCCACUGACCAGGCUCUGCCACUGAGCUACCAGGCCACUGAGCUACCAGGCUCGUUAGGUGCCUCUGCCUCAGUCCAUGGUGGAGACCUGAUGGCUGGGUCUACCUCUGCGUCGGUCCUGCCUGAGUCUCUCUCUGCCUCUACCCAGGGAGGUGACCUGAUUCCUGGGUCAGGGUCUGCGUCUGGCUCAGUCCAGGGAGGGGUGGACUUGGAGAAGAUGUUGUUAGACGCUCAGCACGAGUCAGGAAGAAGCAGCUCCAGGGGCAGUGUGCCCUGUGACAGUCCUCCGAGACCCCAGACUCCUUUGCUCCGCCGUGGCUCAGAAGUGCACAGCUCAGGAGAGAAGAACAGCUCACAGGUUUGGAGCCCUUAUCCAGGGACACCUCUGAGAGCAGAAGAAGACUACCUAGAACGGAGCACAGAGGUUGAGAGCAGUGGAGAACCUGAGGUUGAAGCAGAAAGAGUUUUCCUCUCGCAGACUGGCAUCAGAGAAUGUGCUCUCUUGUCUUUUGGGUGCAGGGAGUUUGUUCUGAAGCAUCCCAAACGUAUCAACCCUCUCAGCAUCAGAAACACCGGCGUCAUGAAGAACGGAGGGAUCUUCUCUGCAGAGUUCCUCAAACUUUUCCUUCCUUCUCUGCUCAUAUCCCCACGUACUGGCCAUCGGUCUGGGGGUGUACAUUGGGAGACGUCUAACUACCUCAGUGACCAGUACCUUCUAAAGGGACACUCCGCUGGACUGGAAAAACAUGUUUUUUUGGCACCAACACCGUUACCUUCCACUGCUGCUGGCUUUGAAGUGGCGCUUAUUAGAUACAGAUAGGCAACAUUGUGUCCCCCAACUCCACUGAAUACAUGGCUCAAAAUGGCACCCUAUUCCCUACAUAGUGCACUACUUUUGACCAGUUCCCAUAGGACUCUGAUCAAAAAGUAGUGCACUAUAUAGGGUUCCAUUUGGGACACACUUCCUUUUUGUUUUCCCCUGGCGGUGAGCAGUCCACCCUGCCUGCAUCUGUAUUGUACCCCUGUGAAUACUGUUGGCUUUUCCCUUAGUUCCCAGAGCUGCUUUUAAAUAACCCUGCUCCACUGGAAAGUAGAACCCGGUGUUCCUCCUUCAUCUCACUGGACGAUCUCUGGGUAGGGGGGGCAUCUUAUAAUCAACCUUUUAAGAGCCAUCGUUGUCAACGACUAGCGAGCUAGCCGUUCACUGUCAGUCAUUUUCAAGCCAUUUUAUCUGGCUCCGAGUCAAGACAUUUUUUUUUUUUUUGUAGUAGAAGACAUUACAGUAAGAAGGUGAUGAUAUAGAAAAGCACUGUGAAUUUCUCAGCGUUGAGAUAUGUACCGGGAAGAAAAGGGAGUGGGUCAGACAAGGGAGUGGGUCAGACAAGGAGCUGUUGCUUGUUUUAUCAGAAUGUCCUUGGUUGUGGGGGAAAAGGGAUCAAGACAUUCAACCGAAAUGUUAUUUCUGACCCGGAUUCUUCUCAUGGAUCAUAAAGGGCUUUAAUCAUAAAACAAGGUUUCAGGAGAAAUUAAAAAAAAGGUUUGAAAUAGAUUAAACCUUGAAAGCGUUUGAGGAAGUAAUGGAGCAUCUUCCAUUAGAUCCCAGAUUAGGUCGAACAGGAGCGUCAGGGUUUUGGUUCACCUUUCAGUUUAUUGGUGUUAUUUUUCACUCAGGGUUGUUUGUGACAACUAGGUGUCCCAUUCACUGAUUAUGCAUGUGGAACACAUGUGUAUGGGUAGAAUUGUACGUUGUGUACAUUAGAUGUGGCACUAUGUAAACCGAACGUGUUUUAUGGUCUGUGGCAUGUUAUUGGUCUACGUAAACCAUUUGAAGUACACAACAAACAGCUUUUCUACCACUACUGCAUAAGACCACACAUCUCCAUAUCAAAUAUUUUAGGGGAAAAUAUAGAGACUUUCACACUUGUAAUUAUGAGGGAAUUUAGAAAUCUUUUAUUUUUGCCUUACUUAUACUUCACUCCUAAUUAAAUACGAAAUCUCAGUAUCCAGAAUGCUUCAGUAUUUUUUGUUCUAAGAAUGAAGAGAGCAAGAGGCUUUCCGAGUUAUGCCUUGAAAAGGCAUUACCAAUCUGUUUCUGCAUGUCUUGUAGAGCUGGUCAACAUGUCAAGUGUAUAUGUGAAGUUGAAAUACUGUUUUGUAAGAACAGUUGGAAUUGUAUCUGAAAAAUAAAAUGGUUGCAUCAUAAAAAUA